rnacentral:misc_RNA from 1 species
AUAAACAAGCAUGAAAUCUGCAAUAAUGGCCAUUACCACGUCAGCGAAAACAAUCUCAAGCUCGUCAAAGAACUUUUCCCUUCGGCGUUCAUACUCUGCAGCAGUCUUAGUGAAGACCCCAACGCCGCAUUCCAUCCCGACCUUCGCCAGAAACAAAUCAUCCGCCAACAGACGCUCCUUGAAUCCACCAAACUGCAUCAACCAUCGCAUGAGAGCAGACUUCUCGAGCUCCAAAAACUUCGUAACCACCGAUCCAGGGAUUCGACCGGCCUCGAUCGCCGCCGCCAAGUCCUUCGGUAGGCAUUCCAGUGACCGGCCUGCCUCAGCCAACACCAAAAGCGCCUCUACCUUGUUCUUAUCACCAGCAUUACCAGAAUCUCCUUCAUCACCAUGAUCAUCUCCGCCACCCCCUCCUCCGCCGCGCGAAGAAGAGCCACCGCCGUCAGCACCACCACCG